AUGCUUGCUUCGGCACCAUACAUUCUAAAACACAGAGAAGACUAGUUUGGCCCCCGCACAAGGAUGACAUCUAAAUUCAUGAAGCAGUUCAUAUUUUG
rnacentral:snRNA from 1 species